rnacentral:rRNA from 1 species
UAAUGACGUUGGGAAAGCGAGCGGCGGAUGGGUGAGUAACACGUGGGGAACCUGCCCCUAAGUCUGGGAUACCAUUUGGAAACAGGUGCUAAUACCGGAUAAUAAAGCAGAUCGCAUGAUCAGCUUUUGAAAGGCGGCGUAAGCUGUCGCUAAGGGAUGGCCCCGCGGUGCAUUAGCUAGUUGGUAAGGUAACGGCUUACCAAGGCGACGAUGCAUAGCCGAGUUGAGAGACUGAUCGGCCACAUUGGGACUGAGACACGGCCCAAACUCC